CUGGUGGCAUCCCAGGGCAGUUGCGGGCAGUCGACCUGUUGAGGCUAGAUCCACCUGAGAAGAGGACCCUCAAUUGAGAAUGUGCCUCCCUCUUACUGGCACACAGGUAAACCUUUCUGGAAACGCCAGAUAUUGUCCAGAGAUGUGUUUCCAUGGCAAUCCUCAUCUAGCCAAGUUGGCAAUGAGGAUGAAUAAUCAACGAGCAUCAACUUUCAACUGAACUCUGGUGUCUCUCUGCCUUAAAUAUGUCUCUUGGAAACUGCUGAAUUAUAUUAAAAAAAAAAAGCUGAUGUUCGGACUUCACUGCGGUGGUAAAUGGCAGCGCGCUCUGCUGAAGAUCCCAACAGGAAUUGGACUCCAGUCAGUCCUUCACAGACCCAGCUCAAAUCUUCUGAGUGUUCUCGUGCACUCCUUGUCAGCAACAGAGACUUCAGAGAGACACAAGGAGGAAUCCCUGAGGUGAAGGCUGCAAAAUGAAUGUUCUGAAAAUUGGGAUGCACUGGGCAAGAUUACCCCUCCCCAACUCCCUCCUCUGUUCAAAGCAAGCAAUUUUGCUUCCGGGUGCUUCUCAGUAAUUGCAAU
rnacentral:lncRNA from 1 species